rnacentral:lncRNA from 1 species
UGAGACAGUGGUUAACCUUCAUCCUAAAAAUCAAAUGCUAACAAUAAUUUUAAGUCAUAAAAAUAAAAUCAAUAAAAAAAGUGUGUUAAAAUGGACCAUUUAGAAUAAAUAAUUAAAAUAAAAUAUUAAUAUUAAAAAAUACAAAAAUAAAAAUUAUAUAAAAUUAAAUAAAACGUUAAGAAAAGUGAAAAAUAUUUUUGGAUAAUUUUAUGGAUGAAGAAAAUAUUUUAAAUAAGAAAAAGAAAUAUGAAAAUGGAA